rnacentral:tRNA from 1 species
GAGCCCGUGGCUUAGCCUGGUUAGAGCGCUCGACUGAUAAUCGAGUGGUCCCGAGUUCAAAUCUCGGCGGGCUCA